rnacentral:rRNA from 1 species
AACGCGGGCGGCAGGCCUAACACAUGCAAGUCGAGCGGUAGAGAGAAGCUUGCUUCUCUUGAGAGCGGCGGACGGGUGAGUAAUACCUAGGAAUCUGCCUGAUAGUGGGGGAUAACGUUCGGAAACGGACGCUAAUACCGCCUACGUCCUACGGGAGAAAGCAGGGGACCUUCGGGCCUUGCGCUAUCAGAUGAGCCUAGGUCGGAUUAGCUAGUUGGUGAGGUAAUGGCUCACCAAGGCUACGAUCCGUAACUGGUCUGAGAGGAUGAUCAGUCACACUGGAACUGAGACACGGUCCAGACUCCUACGGGAGGCAGCAGUGGGGAAUAUUGGACAAUGGGCGAAAGCCUGAUCCAGCCAUGCCGCGUGUGUGAAGAAGGUCUUCGGA